rnacentral:rRNA from 1 species
UACAGAGGGUGCAAGCGUUGUUCGGAAUUAUUGGGCGUAAAGGGAGUGUAGGCGGUUUGCUAAGUCUUCUGUGAAAUCUACGGGCUCAGCCUGUAACGUGCAGAGGAAACUGCCGGGCUUGAGUGUGGGAGAGGUGAGUGGAAUUCCUGGUGUAGCGGUGAAAUGCGUAGAUAUCAGGAGGAACACCGGCGGCGAAGGCGGCUCUCUGGACCGAUGCUGACGCUGAGACGCGAAAGCGUGGGGAGCAAACAGG